UAUUUUUUAAUCAACUUUAUUACAUUUCACUAGAAGCUUUUUUUUAUAGUUUUAUUUUAUUUUAUUUUUUGACAUUACAACAAUUUAUAAUUAAUGUAACAAUAUAUUUAAUUUAUAUAGUAGUUCAUUAAUGUGUGUGAAAUAGUUUGUUUCAGAUUCAAAUUUUUUUUUUUUAUAACCCUACGGUACUUUUUAUUGAGACAAUCAUAAAUCUUAAUCAAUGCAAUUAAAUCAUUAUCAAAAUUAUUAAUAUACGAUUUUACUAAUGGGAUUUACACUUCCAUUGAAGUGGUCCCUAACUUAGUCUAAUAAUAAUAAAUAAUAAUAUUUAAACUGUAAAGUAAAUAUUUAUAAAUUUAAACUAAGUCAUAUGGCUUGACGCGUUUUAAACGUCUUAGGUCAUUGGAAUUGUCGAAUAGUUGAAUGAAUUGCCGCUAUAUUUUCAUGGUUUUCCAACCUUAUUAUAUGCUUACGUGCAGACCUAGUGACUUCAUCUGCUACGGUUGGUUACAUCAUAUCUCGAUGAAUUACUUCAUUUCUAUCGAAUCUGUAGCCGCGACGAUUGUACGACUUGCGUUAUUUCGACAACGUUGUAUAACAUCUAUGUUGGACUUACUGGCACCACCCACAAUUGUUGAAUUCUAUAAGGUUUUACGAUCGCUACGUAUAACAGACGUUCUCUAGUGAUAGCUCAGAAUUUUUUCCAACUAACCAAUAGAGUCCGCGCAUUUUAUUCUUUAUCUGCAGUCUUUUCUGGCGUACAUGAUGUUUCCAGAUGAGGCGGCAGUCAAGGUGCAUUCACAGAUAUUUAGCCGAAUCUCUUUGUGGGAUUAUAUGUCGUUCGGUUGAAUAACAUGUUCUAAAUGAAGUGCAUAUGCUUCUGCUUUGUCCAAAUCAGUACGCGCCCACGUACCAUCUUCCUUACGAAUAGGAGGUACAUAAGCUCGAGGUCUUUUAAUUUUUCUUGUAGUUUUUCAUAAAGAAUAAUUGCUAAAAACUGUAGUAGAUAGUCCGCUUAAAUAUGACUUAAAUAUGUUUCGUUUUUAACUUCUUUGAUUUUCUCACAUAGUGCUCAGGCACGUAGCCAGAAAAUGUUUAUUGGAGGUGCCAACAAUUUUGGGCCCUUGUAUCAUUUUCUAUAAUUUGUUCCCUAUGAAAAGAUUGUGGGGGGGCUCCGUCCACUCCUUAGACAGUAUCCCUACUAUGAAUCUUACAAGUUCAAAAUUUUACCAUUGGUUGGUUAAAAACAAAUUGUUUUCGUAUAAAGUAUACUAAUUAAUACAGUAUUAUAAAAAAUGGAUAGUACCUGUAAUAAAAAAAAAAAAAUACUUUCAUCUUCACUAUCGGGAUGAAUUUUUCAUAUUGUGAAAAAUUAAUAAAAUAAUGAUGUGAACAUAAGCUGAUUUAAUUUUUCAACUUUUAAGCUAUUAAGAAAAAAUAAUUUACACCUAAAUACUAAUAACAAAUAAGUUAUAAAUAAUUUUUAAAAUAAAUAUAAAUUAUAAACAAUGUAAAAUUUAUUUUAUUUAAAAUUAAAAACAAUUCCUGCUUUUUUUUAGUCAUAUUUUUAUUACUAUUAUUUAAACCAUGCAAAUAACAAAUUAACAAAAACAAAUAAAUUACCUAUUGUAACAACUAAAUUAUAAAAAAAGAAACAGAUUAAAGAUAAGAUUUAUCAAAAAAAUUUUCAUAGAGUAUUACUCUAUCGAAUUUUGAACUAGAUUCUAAUCAAUGCAGAUACAUGGUAGUUUGUUAUCAUUUGUUGGACCAGAGUUAAAAAAAAUUUACCUACAUCUCGUUUGGAGUAACUGCUAUUCCAUUUAUUAUUACGUCUAGAACGUUAUCUUUUUCAAAUAACGUUUUCUAUGAAUAUAAAAAUGAAAAUACAGCUAUAAUAAUAACUGUAUUACCCAAUAAUAAUCACAAAUCAAUAAUAAUUUCAAUGUAAAUAAGGCCUAGCACGUUUUUGAUAAUUCGUAAAAAUAAUUGAAUUUUAAAUUGUGGGGGGGGGGCCGACCCUAAGUCAUAUUAAAUCUAAGGGGAGCCAAGCCCACCCAUGUCUACGUGCCUGAUAGUGCUUUGCAUAAACGAUUCCAUUCAGUUUUAUCUGCUAAAUGAUGGGUAGUGUACCGUUUUCUUCUAGCUCUGCGUUUUUACUUAAUAAGUUCUUUUAUUUCCACUGGAUAAGUUGUCUCGUGAUAUCUGUCUUUACAGGUUUCUAAAGUAGCUUUUUUUGCCGCUUUGACAAUAUCAUUAGUUAGUUUAUGUACUACUGUUUCUAUGUCACUUGCUGUUUUCAACUGUACGGAAAGUGUGAUAGUUUUUUCUAGGGCAUUCUGAAAAUAUCCCAGUCUGUCUGUUUAUUUGUGAUGAAAAUUUUCCGCUUUUUUAAUAUGACAUUCGAACUUAUUGUCAAUAACACAGGAAUGUGAUCAUACGACAAGUCUACCAGCUCUUCUGCUUGAACAUAAUUAGAAGAGAUACCUUUAAUUACGAAGAAGUGUAAAAGAUCAGGAUUUUUAUUUGAGUCACUUGGGCAGGGUAAUAAAUCUUGAUCCGUAAUGGGUAUGUUUGGCGUUAUAAUCACCACCUACAAUAUAUAUAAUAAAACAAUAAAACAGUUGCCAAGAGUUUGGAAAAACUCAUUGAAUUUAUUGAAGUCGGCGCCACCUUGAAGUGGAAAAUAAAUUGCCAAAACUAAGAAAUCAUUACUCUCAUUAAUGACUCUGACAUUUGUUACUUGUAUGUGCAUUGUUGAAUACUUUUCAAGCUCAAAAUGCUUUAUGCAUUGUUUUAUAAUAACUGCUGUACCACCACGUGCUCUACUGCUUGAUCGUAAGGUAGUAUAGAUAUUGUAAUUUUUUAUUUUCAAAAAAGUCCAUGGGGUGAAAUGUAUUUCUGAAAUAAGAGCUAUGUCAAUGUUCUCAUUACUUUAAAAUUCUUCGAGUUCUUGUUUACACUAUACUAGCCCAUUGUGUACAAGCUAUGAUACGUAAUGUAUGAUUCAUUUCUUCUUUUUGUUUUGAUUGUUAGACUUAAACUGGUUACUUUCUACCUUAUCAAGUCUACUUGUUAUAUUUGUAAGGGCUGAUAAAAUUUCCAUUAGAACUACUAACUAUUUUAGCCUAGGAAACAACCGAUGUAACAGUUUUAGCCGGUUUCUGUUGAAAACGUUGCACUGCGGUGUUUUUUUUCUUCUGCUUUCUUGUAAGCUGAACAGCCUUUCCAAUUUGCGGCGUAGGUUUCUCCGCAAUUGGCGAAUUCGAUUUCGAUUUUUUCGGUUUUGGUCAAUCUUCUGUUUUAUGUUCUUCGCCACAUUUUACACAGAUAGAUUUUUUGUGACAAUAAUUUUGAGUAUGUUCAAAGGCUUGGAAAUUUUUACACUGUGGUACUCCUUCUUUUUUUCUUCGGAGGUUCUACUUUUAUUUUAUGAUAACAUAAACUAUUUAAGUCGUAUAUAUCUUUAUUGUUAUCUCGAGGAUCUAGGUCUACAAAAAAUAACGGUAAUUUUAUUAUUUUUCACUAUUUUUGUCACUAGGAUUUAUUUUUCUCCUACUUUGGAUGUUAGUGACAUCACUUGCAUAAUGGCCAUUAUCUGCUUGGGCUCUUUUAAUUUCACAUACUUCAGUGUCAGUGUGUAAUCCUCUGAUUACAAUACGAAACUUUUUUAUUUUUAAUUGAUAACUGUGAUACUCAAUU